GACGAACGCUGGCGGCGUGCUUAACACAUGCAAGUCGUACGGUAAGGCCCUUUCGGGGGUACACGAGUGGCGAACGGGUGAGUAACACGUGAGUAACCUGCCCACAACUUUGGGAUAACGCUAGGAAACUGGUGCUAAUACUGGAUAUGUGCUCCUGCUGCAUGGUGGGGGUUGGAAAGCUCCGGCGGUUGUGGAUGGACUCGCGGCCUAUCAGCUUGUUGGUGGGGUAGUGGCCUACCAAGGCGGCGACGGGUAGCCGGCCUGAGAGGGUGACCGGCCACAUUGGGACUGAGAGACGGCCCAGACUCCUACGGGAGGCAGCAGUGGGGAAUAUUGCACAAUGGGCGCAAGCCUGAUGCAGCAACGCCGCGUGCGGGAUGACGGUCUUCGGGUUGUAAACCGCUUUCAGCAGGGACGAAGCUUUUUGUGACGGUACCUGCAGAAGAAGCACCGGCUAACUACGUG
rnacentral:rRNA from 1 species